GCUGAGAGAAGGCUAUAAAGAACCUUAUAGCCAAUAGGUUGUCUGUAUUAUUAGCCUUGCUCUUAAAUGAUAAAACAUAAACAGUACUUUAGGUAUGACUUAUUUUUUUAAUUUUUUUUAAAAAAUAUUUUAAAUAAGACGGACGAUCAAAAUUGAACACGAAAACUCGUGGCUGCACUUAAA
rnacentral:pre_miRNA from 1 species